rnacentral:rRNA from 1 species
CCUACGGGAGGCAGCCGUGAGGAAUAUUGGUCAAUGGGCGGGAGCCUGAACCAGCCAAGUCGCGUGAGGGAUGACGGCCCUAUGGGUUGUAAACCUCUUUUGUAGGGGAGUAAAGUGUCGCACGUGUGCGGUUUGGUGAGUACCCGGUGAAAAAGCAUCGGCUAACUCCGUGCCAGCAGCCGCGGUAAUACGGAGGAUGCGAGCGUUAUCCGGAUUUAUUGGGUUUAAAGGGUGCGUAGGCGGACGCUUAAGUCAGCGGUAAAAUUUCGGGGCUCAACCUAGGCGAGCAGUUGAAACUGGGUGCCUUGAGUGGGCUAGAAGUGCGCGGAAUGCGUGGUGUAGCGGUGAAAUGCAUAGAUAUCACGAAGAACUCCGAUUGCGAAGGCAGCGUACCGGCGCCCAACUGACGCUGAAGCACGAAGGCGUGGGUAUCGAACAGGAUUAGAUACCCCAGUAGUC